GAGGAUAUAGUUUAAUGGUAAAAUAGCUAGUUAUUUAGAAGAUAAGAGGUUCGAUUCCUUUUAACCCUCACCA
rnacentral:tRNA from 1 species